rnacentral:rRNA from 1 species
GACGAACGCUGGCGGCGUGCUUAACACAUGCAAGUCGAACGGAAAGGCCUGCUUUCCCUUGUGGAUUGCGGGUACUCGAGUGGCGAACGGGUGAGUAACACGUGAGUGAUCUGCCCCCAACUUGGGUAUAAGCCUGGGAAACUGGGUCUAAUUCCCGAUAGGACUGCAGGGUGGUGCCUGUGGUGGAAAACGAUUUUCUAGUGGUUGGGGAUGAGCUCGCGGCCUAUCAGCUUGUUGGUGGGGUAAUGGCCUACCAAGGCGGCGACGGGUAGCCGGCCUGAGAGGGUGGACGGCGACAUUGGGACUGAGAUACGGCACAGACUCCUACGGGAGGCAGCAGUGGGGAAUAUUGCACAAUGGGCGGAAGCCUGAUGCAGCGACGCCGCGUGGGGGAUGACGGCCUUCGGGUUGUAAACUCCUUUCGACCGCGAGGAAGCCACCUGGUUGGAAGGGUGGUGACGGUAGUGGUAGAAGAGGCACCGGCUAACUACGUG